GCGCAGCAGGCGCGAAACCUUCGCAAUGCGGGAAACCGCGACGAGGGGACUCCCAGUGCCUACGCUCAGCGUAGGCUGUUCCCGAGCCUAGAAAGCUCGGGGAGUAAGGGCUGAGUAAGACGGGUGCCAGCCGCCGCGGUAAUACCCGCAGCCCGAGUGGCGGCCACUAUUAUUGGGCCUAAAGCGUCCGUAGCCGGCCCGGUAAAUGCCUGGGUAAAUCGUGAGGCCUAACCUCACGAAUUCCGGGUAGACUGCCGGGCUAGGGACCGGAGGAGGGAGAGGGGUACUCCAGGGGUAGGGGUGAAAUCCUGUAAUCCCUGGAGGACCACCGGUGGCGAAGGCGCUCUCCUAGGACGGGUCCGACGGUGAGGGACGAAAGCCAGGGGAGCGAACCGGAUUAGAUACCCCUGUAGU
rnacentral:rRNA from 1 species